rnacentral:rRNA from 1 species
GAUGAACGCUGGCUACAGGCUUAACACAUGCAAGUCGAGGGGAAACGACGGGGAAGCUUGCUUCCCCGGGCGUCGACCGGCGCACGGGUGAGUAACGCGUAUCCAACCUGCCUCUGACUGAGGGAUAACCCGUCGAAAGUCGGCCUAAUACCUCAUGGUAUCGUCUGCGGGCAUCCAACGACGAUUAAAGAUUUCAUCGGUCAGGGAUGGGGAUGCGUCUGAUUAGCUUGUUGGCGGGGUAACGGCCCACCAAGGCUACGAUCAGUAGGGGUUCUGAGAGGAAGGUCCCCCACAUUGGAACUGAGACACGGUCCAAACUCCUACGGGAGGCAGCAGUGUUGAAUAUUGGUCAAUGGGCGAGAGCCUGAACCAGCCAAGUAGCGUGCAGGAAGACGGCCCUAUGGGUUGUAAACUGCUUUUAUGCGGGGAUAAAGUGAGGGACGUGUCCCUCAUUGCAGGUACCGCAUGAAUAAGGACCGGCUAAUUCCGUGCCAGCAGCCGCGGUAAUACGGAAGGUCCUGGCGUUAUCCGGAUUUAUUGGGUUUAAAGGGAGCGUAGGCCGUGGAUUAAGCGUGUUGUGAAAUGCAGGUGCUCAACGUCUGCACUGCAGCGCGAACUGGUCCACUUGAGUGUGCGCAACGCAGGCGGAAUUCGUCGUGUAGCGGUGAAAUGCUUAGAUAUGACGAAGAACUCCGAUUGCGAAGGCAGCUUGCGGGAGCACAACUGACGCUGAAGCUCGAAAGUGCGGGUAUCGAACAGG